UUCUUUGUUCUCCAGUGAACCCUCCGACAGUUCAGCCGCCAACAGUUAAGACCAAGACACCCAAGAAGACCUGUAAUUGCAAACCCCCCAGCUCUCCUAAAGGCUGUGAACAAUCAGUGCUUUGGCCGGGCAUUGGUGCUCUUUUGCUUUUGGCCAUUACACUUGCUGGCACACUUUACUACUUCAGUCGUCUACCUAAGAAGUGUAGACAUCAAUUUACCAAGACGAAUCAGUUGCGAUGAGGUGGAAGAACACACUCUUCAUGUCGAAACAAAUG